rnacentral:rRNA from 1 species
AGUACCGGUGAAGAUGCCGGUUACCUGCAGAUAGACGAAAAGACCCCAGAAGCUUUACUGUAGCUUGAUAUUGCAUAUACGACACGACUGCGUAGCAUAGAUGGGAGAGGUUGAGAGCAUGAUUUCGGUUGUGCUGGACUCGUCAGUGAAAUACCAUUCUUUCUAGUUGUAUGUGCUAACCGGUGCGGACAAAAACCGUACCGAGACAGUCUCUGGUAGGCAGUUUUAGUGGGGCGCUAUCCUCGAGGAUUUAAAUUAAUUUUUGAAUCCUCGAUCCGUGGCGCCCCCUAGGUGGUUCACACCGAAACAAAUAAAUAAGGGGGACCAUAGCGUGUAAGCGUUAUGAGAAAAGUUGGUUAUAUCGGCAAAUAUCUCAUGUUAUAAUGAGAAAAUACCGAGGGAUGCACAAAACGCGCCCGUAGAGACUACAACCCAACCAUCCUGACAAAAGGAUGAUGAUAUAGUCCGAUCUCAUUGGCGACAGUGAGUCUCGCAAAAGCGAGAACCCAUGAAUACUAAAACAAUUCGUGAGCUCAAGAAUAAUCUGGUUCUAAAAAACACCGAACUUAUGUAAUACAUACGCUCGGUUACGAAAAGGGUGAGCUGGAAGACGUACAGAAGAUUUUACUCAAAAAGUUUAAUCUACAUACGUCACUUCAUAUUCAGAAAGGGAAGUAUUGGAGAUUGUACAUUAAAUCUCAAUCGGCAGAUAAAUUUAAAAAACUUGUCGAACCGUACUUGCUUCCAUCCAUGAAGUAUAAAUUGGGGAACACAAAUGCCUAAAAAGUAACGGAGGAGUCUAUUAAGGUCAGCUAGGCGCGAAUGGAAACCGUGCCGAUAGUGCAAUGGCAUAAGCUGGCUUGACUGUGAGGCGUACAUGCCAAACAGAUGCGAAAGCAGAGCAUAGUGAACCGACGGUCCGCGUUAGAGGCGGCCGGAGAUUAUCGGACAAAAGCUACCCUGGGGAUAACAGGCUGGUUGCGCCUAAGCGUCCAUAGCGACGGCGCAGUUCGGCACCUUAACUCUCAACUUAAACCUUGGGAAACAUCGGGGUGCCUAUCGUAGUAAUGCGAUAUAAAAAAUUUGGCUUAUAACGGUGGACUCCAUACACAAGCCUUAUACCUAUUGGUAUAAUUAAUUGUAUGGACAAUACCGCGGGAAGUCUAACUCAAUUACAGAAGUCAUUUAUCGUUGGAACUCUUUUGGGAGACGGAUAUAUUCGUCAAGUAAAAGGGAGAAAGAAUGCAUUUCUUGAAGUAAAUCAUUCAAUAACUCAAAAAGAGUAUGUCGAAUGGAAAUACAAAAUCUUAAAAAAUUUAACGCGAAGUGGUCCUAAAUUCCGAAAGGGAAAUGGGAACAGAAUCGCAUAUAGAUUUUUUACAAAACAACAUCCUGAAUUUACAAAGAUAAUGGAUUUGUUUUACAAAGAUAAGAAGAAAUGUAUUCCGGAUCUAAUAUUAGAUCCAUUGAUAUUGGCAGUAUGGUUCAUGGAUGAUGGAAGUAGAUGUAGUGAGGAUAAUGUAUAUCUUAAUACUCAGCAGUUUUCUAAAGAGGACCAGUAUAAAUUGUUGGAAUUCUUAAGAAAGAUUGGCUUAGAGGGAACUCUAAAUAAAGAUAAAGAGUAUUAUAGAAUCAGAUUCAAAACAUCUAGCAUUUCACAACUAUUUGGAAUGAUUGAGCAAUACAUCAUUCCAUCCAUGAAAUAUAAAAUUGGGUUAUGACCCUGUAGAGACUUGGCCUUAACUGGUCAGAGUGUGAAUAAAAUUCAUGCUAACACGCCAAACUCCUUUCCUAAAUAGAGAAAAGGAUGAAGAUAUAGUCCGAUCCUUCCGGUAACGGGAGAAAAAUAAGACAGCGAUGUCGGCUCAACUUAUCCUGGAGGUGAAGAAGCUUCCAAGGGUAUGGCUGUUCGCCAUUUAAAAAGUUACGCGAGCUGGGUUCAGACCGUUCAGUGCACGAGAAAUCGUGAAUUGAACAGUCUGAAUCCCUAGGACAUUGAGAAAAUUGAAUUCAACCAAUCACGGCGGUCAUGCAUAGAAAUAUGUAUGCAUCAAGCUGAUUAAUAUCGGUAAAACCCCAUGUGGGUAAUACCGAGGGAAGCUCAUAAUAUUGGAAAGUGAGAUGAACGAUCGCACAAUUCCGCGGAGCGGAAUAUGUGUGAGUCUCACUCCUGAGUCCCAAAAGGACUCGGGCUCACCUCCCAGUAUUAUAAGCACCCGUAGAGACUAAACAUCAGAUGUCUUCGCUCGCAAGAGAAAGACAAAGCUAUAGUCCAUUGCACUUAGUAAUAAGUGAAAACAAGCGUGAGACAGGUUGGACUCCUAUCUACUGCAGGCGUUCGAUUCUUGAGGGGAUUUGCUCCUAGUAAAUUUUGCUACUUCACGAAGAAAUUUGUGAUGACAAAGUGGCUAAUAACGGUGAAAUCUUGCUAAGUUUGGUCUGUUGAUAACUACUGCCGGCCUAGUCCGUAGGCAGUGGUACAAUGGUAAGUAUAAACUUACUUGAGGACCAGAAAUAAACAAGACAAUACCGUGGGAAGUCGAUCUAAUGUUGAGUUAGCGUAUAUCGCUGGGUUUCUUGAUGGCGAUGGUAGUCUGAUGCUUCAGAUAAAGAAGCGUUCAGACGGCGGAAUCGGUCUCCGAUUCAUGCCUACCAUUUGUUUCUAUCAGGACACCCGUCACGAGAAGACGCUGUACUGGAUAAAAGAGAGAUUUGGUAUCGGAUAUGUUUCGCGAAGAAACGAUGGGAUGAGUGAGUUGAGAGUCAACGGCUACAAACAAGUGGCCGAUAUCCUCAAAACACUUUCCCCAUACAUUCGAUUCAAAAUGAUUCAAAGCAAAGCACUCUUGAGUGCUUGCGAGACACUCUCCAGUACGAAAUUCUCCAAGCUGUCUAAAAAGCAGUUGGAAAAAAUCGUGGAUCUGAUUCUGGUGAUACAGAAGGAAAAUUAUGUCACUAAGAAAAAGAAGACGAAGAGAGAAUUGAUGGCUCAACUUGGGUUUGACCCCGUAACGACUGAUCCGGAGAGCUUACGCUCGAAGGUGAGACUUGUGCACAGGCGAAUCAUUUCGUAGAAAAUGACGGCUUGCACUUGUAAUACGCCAACAUCCUAACCGCGCAAGUGGAAGGAUGAAGAUAUAGUCUGCGCUCCUGGUGACAGGGGAAUUACGCGACGAGAGGACCGGAGUGAACCGACCACUGGUGUGCCUGCUGUCCUGCCAAGGGCAUCGCAGGGUAGCUAAGUCGGGAAAGGAUAAAUUCUGAAAGCAUCUAAGAAUGAAGCCAACCCCAAGAUUAGGAAUCGUUGAGGGCCCUGGGAGAUUACCAGGUUGAUAGGCGCUAGGUGUAAGUACCGCAAGGUAUUGAGCCGAGGCGUACUAAUUGCCCGA